AGCGCAGGUGGUUUCUUAAGUCUGAUGUAAAAGGCAGUGGCUCGACCAUUGUGUGCAUUGGAAACUGGGAGACUUGAGUGCAGGAGAGGAGAGUGGAAUUCCAUGUGUAGCGGUGAAAUGCGUAGAUAUAUGGAGGAACACCGGAGGCGAAAGCGGCUCUCUGGCCUGUAACUGACACUGAGGCUCGAAAGCGUGGGGAGCAAACA
rnacentral:rRNA from 1 species